rnacentral:rRNA from 1 species
UACGGAGGGUGCAAGCGUUAUCCGGAUUCACUGGGUUUAAAGCGUGCGCAGGCGGUUUGCUAAGACAGGUGUGAAAUCCCCGGGCUUAACCUGGGAACUGCGCUUGUAACUGGCAAGCUGGAGUGUGGCAGAGGGGGGUGGAAUUCCACGUGUAGCAGUGAAAUGCGUAGAGAUGUGGAGGAACACCGAUGGCGAAGGCAGCCCCCUGGGCUAACACUGACGCUCAUGCACGAAAGCGUGGGGAGCAAACAGG